rnacentral:rRNA from 1 species
CAGUGGUGAAUCAGUGGUACUAACCAUCCAUGGAUCUGCUGGUCAUGCUUUGUGUGUGGUUGGUGGUGAUGUGCGUGGGAUCUUCGUUGGUAGUAGCCAAGUGAUGGGGUGACGCAGUGAGGUAGCUGAGCCAUUUAUUGGAUUGUGGUGUAAGCGUGUGGCCCGUGGCAUAGGUAAAUCCGUGUUACAUAGUGGGUGAGGCGUGAUGCGUAGACCUUUGUGGUUGAUGUUGGUGAUCCUGUACUGUCGAGAAAAGCCUCUAGCGAGUGCAUAUAUGGCCCGUACCCAUA